UACGUAGGGACCGAGCGUUGUCCGGAAUCAUUGGGCGUAAAGAGCGUGUAGGCGGCCUUUUAAGUCCUGCGUGAAAUCCUGCGGCUCAACCGCAGACGGUCGUGGGAAACUGGAAGGCUAGAGUGCGGGAGAGGAGAGUGGAAUUCCCGGUGUAGCGGUGAAAUGCGCAGAUAUCGGGAAGAACACCCGUGGCGAAGGCGGGUCUCUGGGACGGUACUGACGCUGAGACGCGAAAGCGUGGGGAGCGAACAGG
rnacentral:rRNA from 1 species